UGGACCGUUAAAUCACAUUCAGGCUGCAGCUAGUAUAAUGAAGCAUGAACCACAGCUUCUAAACUGAUAAUAAAGGCCCGAAAAUGACAAGCUAGAUACAGCUAGUUCCAGGCUAUGCUGAUAUGGAAGAAAAGAUGUUGAGGAUUCACUGGAAAAAAACCAUAAUCUAUAAAGCCUGAUACUUUAAUUGUACAGGCUACCUAACUCAUGGUAAUGCUGGAGCAUAACUUCAUCUACCUAUUUAUUUCCAUUAAUUUUAGCAGAUGGGAUCCUUUAUUUUGAACAUAAUCAUCUGAAAUUCUGAAACAGAGAGAAAAGGAAGGAAGGAAGGAAGGAAGGAAGGAAGGAAGGAAGGAAGGAAGGAAGGAAGUUUCAUGUAUUUCUUAAAAUUGCAUUUGAAAUAAAAAAUGGUAUUUGAAAAAAGAGGGAAGGGAAGAAUUUGAAGUUUGAAUUUUUGGUCUUUUUAUAGAAGUGCUAACAAUAAUUUGCAUCAGGGUUUUUCUUUUUCCUUCUAUGUCAUAUAAAAUGUGUUUUGGUAUUUAAUUUCAGUGAGACAUUUAAAUAAAAGCAUGGUUCAUUAAC